CAAUAAGAGAGCUUCACCUCGAUGAUGGAGUCUGAAGUCAAGCAGCUAUGGUAGGUACGACUCCUACACUCCUCUCUCUGCUCUCUGUGUGCAAAUCUUGAUGGAGAUCAAAAGAGAGGAGUAUCUACGACACCCCCCAUCAAUGAAAGUGCCACCAAGGAAUCGUGAUCGAAAAAAAUACUAUCUGUUCCAUCGUGAUCAUGGUCACGAUACCGAAUAGUG
rnacentral:lncRNA from 1 species